rnacentral:rRNA from 1 species
CUGUUAACGACUCUCGACAACGGAUAUCUCGGCUCUCGCAUCGAUAAAAAACGUACCGAAAUGCAAUACUUGGUGUGAAUUGCAAAAUCCCGUGAACCAUCAAGUCUUUGAACGCAAGUUGCGCCCAAACCCUUCUGGCCAAGGGCACGUCUGCCUGGGCGUCAAGC